rnacentral:rRNA from 1 species
GUACGGGGGGGGCAAGCGUUGUUCGGAAUUACUGGGCGUAAAGGGCUCGUAGGCGGCCAACUAAGUCAGACGUGAAAUCCCUCGGCUUAACCGGGGAACUGCGUCUGAUACUGGAUGGCUUGAGUUCGGGAGAGGGAUGCGGAAUUCCAGGUGUAGCGGUGAAAUGCGUAGAUAUUGGGAAGAACACCGAUGGCGAAGGCAGCCAUCUGGACCGACACUGACGCUGAGGCGGCGAAAGCGUGGGGAGCAAACAGG